ACUAAUGAUCUUUUAGUGGCGGACGGGUUAGUAACGCGUGAGCAACCUGCCUUAAAGAGGGGGAUAGUCCUGGGAAACUGGGUUUAAUACCGCAUAAGCCCCGCCCUUUAUUGGGUUGGGUAAAGUGGCCUUCGGGUCAUGCUUUAAGAUGGGCUCGCGUCCUAUCAGCUUGUUGGUGAGGUAAUGGCUCACCAAGGCGACGACGGGUAGUUGGUCUGAGAGGACGAUCAGCAACACUGGAACUGAGACACGGUCCAGACACCUACGGGUGGCAGCAGUCGAGAAUCAUUCACAAUGGACGAAAGUCUGAUGGUGCAACGCCGCGUGUGGAAUGAAGGCCUUAGGGUCGUAAACCACUGUCAUGUGAGAGUAAGACAUAUUAGUUAAUACCUGGUAUGUUUGAUAGUAUCACAAGAGGAAGGGACGGCUAACUUCGUGCCAGCAGCCGCGGUAAUACGAAGGUCCCG
rnacentral:rRNA from 1 species